UCAGGGCGGUGGUGGCUGGGGGCAGCCUCAUGGUGGUGGCUGG
rfam:Gorilla gorilla gorilla genomic chromosome, chr20, whole genome shotgun sequence